rnacentral:sRNA from 2 species
AAACCCAACCCACCCACUCACUUACGCACGGCAGGAGCGGGGGACCCAGGUAAGACGCCGGUCCGGAUUCCGGAACGGCUCGGGGUGAAGUCGCAUUCACCAUGCGGCCGGACAUCUCCCGUCCGAACCCGACAGCUCACCUCGUAGGCGACGGAGAGGAAUU